GAAGGCGAAAAGGUUUCCUUUUGAACUCCCUCAGGACGCGAGCGUUCCGCGAGAGCUUUGCUUCGAAUCGAGGGCUUCCGAAAAUUCGAUCUCUAGCUGCCCCAUCUUCGUUGCCUCAAGGUACUCGAUAUCGUUUUGCAACCUUGUUGCCUCUUGCAUGGGAGAUGGUGGCGUUAUGGCUGUAGAAGUAGUGAAGAUUGAGAAGAGUUGUGUGGAGAAUAAGCAACCGGCGGCUGCUUCAAGCUUGUCCAUGUCUGAGGGAAGUUAUGGGUUAUCUACGAUGUCUCCUUCUGUUUGUAGCUCCUCAAGAUCUUCCCCAUUCGAUAGGAGAGCUAGCGGGCCAAUGAGGCGAGCUAAGGGUGGUUGGACAGCACAAGAGGAUGAGACAUUAAGGAGAGCUGUUGAAGCCUAUAAAGGAAGGUGCUGGAAGAAAAUAGCUGAUUUUUUUCCAAAUAGAACAGAAGUUCAAUGCCUCCAUAGAUGGCAAAAGGUUCUAAAUCCUGAACUUAUUAAGGGUCCGUGGACUCAAGAGGAAGAUGAGUAUAUAAUUUGUCUUGUAGCAAAGUAUGGGCCAUCAAAAUGGUCUACCAUUGCAAAGAAUCUUCCUGGACGAAUUGGGAAACAAUGUAGGGAGAGAUGGCAUAAUCAUUUGGAUCCAACGAUAAGAAAGGUUGCUUGGACUUCAGAGGAGGAGCUUGCUCUCAUGAAUGCCCAUCGCAUGUAUGGAAAUAAAUGGGCAGAAAUUGCAAAGGUCUUACCUGGAAGGAGUGACAACUCAAUAAAGAACCACUGGAAUAGUUCCUUGAAGAAAAAGUUAGAUUUCUUCUUGGCCACUGGGAAGCUUCCACUGGUUCACAAACCUGAAAUUCUUGAUGGUUUGAAGAGCAUAUCAAACACAGGUGGUGGAGAUACACUUCUGACUUCGAGAAAUAGAUCAGAGAAUUUUACUAAAGCUUUUUCUGGAUCAGCCAGUUCCUCAGAUUCUGGUCUGCAUCCUGAAGCAUCUAAAUCGGAUGACCGAAAGAAUUGUCUGCAACUAUCAUUAGUUCAUGGUAAGACAGAAACUGCAACAACUGUGUUGGUAAACGAAGUUAAUGAUCUAAAUUCCCAGUGCAGCAUGCAGACUCCUAUGUCUGAUGGCUGCAAUGGAUACGAACACAGUAAAGAAUUGGCGAAUCAUGGAAAUACUAGGGAGAGUGGCCAACUGAAUGAUGCAUGUCAACUAACAUUACUUGAUGAAUCUCCUUAUGGUCUUGGUCCACUCUUUCAUAAGCCUUCUCAGCUUCAAGAUGUUUGCCAUUCUGUUGUUUCUACUCCUUUAUACAAUUCUAUCCGAAAGCAAUUAGACUGCUCAGCAGUAUCGUCACCAAAAGAAUAUCAGACACAUCCCUCUUCGAAGGGGAAGGAACCAGCGCAAAGUAUUGAAUCAAUAUUAAAAGAUGCAGCUAGAAGUUUCCCUAACACUCCUUCUAUCAUUAGGAGGACAAAGAGGGAAACAGAAAUGACUCUUGCUUCUGAAACUAGUUUGUCACAUGCAGACAGCGUAAAGUUUUUGGAUAACUCUGCUACGACUGGGAGGAGCAGAGUAAUCUUGGAGGCAGUUGAAUCUUCAAUGACUAAACCUGGUCCAAGUGCUUCUGACAGAAGCAAUAAUUCAUACCGUGACAACAGUUUCAAUGCUUCUCCUCCGUACAGGUUGAGGUCCAAAAGGACUGCAAUUAUCAAGUCUAUGGGUAAACACCUUGAGUUUACAGUUGACGAAAAUGAUUGCGACAGUAAUAUCAAGCCCCCAAGCUCUUCUGUGCAUUCUUCCAAGCAUACAAGUGAGGGAAACAGUCAAAAUCUAAUUGGAUCUAAAAAGCACUAAAUCAGAACUAAGUUCAACACGCCCAGAUUCAUGUUUGGACAAUAAAAAUUUGGGAUACAAUUUCUACUUGGAUCGGACACAUUGGAUUGCACAAGUUUCUCAUUUUCCCUGUGCAAGAUAAGCUUAAAUUGCAAACGGAUUUCUAUUUGCACCCAAGUUACCCAAAUCACGCAAGAUUAUGCAGCUUAAACUCAAGAACGGCAAAGAAUCUCAUUAGAACAACAAGAGCUAAAGAAACAUAUGAAGUUUGAGCACAAGGCUUAGGCCGGUUGAGCAGCCGGUUUUGUUUUUUAGAAUGAACAUUAGAAUUUAUCAUAAAUUUCGUCAAAAAUCAAUAGUUAAGAUGAAAAAUCAUGGGAAAGAAGAAAAAAAACAAGAGUCAUUAAAUGUUUCACAUGUAAAAAAAUCCAGGAAAGAAAUUUGAUGGGAAUAUCUUUGCCUUUAGAUUGUUAGAUUUGUACAUUGAUUAUGCCCAACGACUCCAGAACAAUUUUUUAUCUAUAAUAAUUGCAAAAUAAGAACAGCAGAUAAAAAAAAAAGUUUAAGAAAUGCAGCCAGUCAGUCCUUGGUGGGAGAUUGAUUCUCAUCUCCCAUCCUAAGGAGUAAGGACAGGACUUUCAAUGCCUCUACUGCAGGUACAACGACUUGGAUUUGAAAAGUACAAGACUAACAGAGGGUCUGACCUUUUGCAGUGAUGAUCCUGUCCGAAAGCUGAGUCGGAUGAAGGCUGGUCGUGACGGUCUGGUUACUUACGGAAAGUCGUGGGUGAUCUGACUCCCACAGGCGGCUGACGAUGCUGCAGGCCCCUACACACACUCAGACGAUCCCCCUCCUCACUUUAGAGACCAGAACCCAGGGAAAAAGUCCCCGGAUCAGGCCCUCCGACGCUCAAGUCAGGUAUUUUUCCUCAGAAAACGCAAAGAGAAGGAAAAAACUGACUGAAAGUGAAAAGUUGUAGAAAAAAGUGACGAGAGAGCGUACCCGCGUACGAAGAAUCCUCCUCUUUUUAUGCCCCCGCCUCGCUUCUAGAACCUGCAACCAUGUCAGAAAGCGUUAGACGCUGGGCUUUGUCGUGUAGUCCUAGACACCUGUUGUGCUGCCAUUGGUUGUGAAAGCAUCUUCUCGUUUAGGGACCUCGGCCUUUACACAUGGGUUUUGUCUUGUAAUGAAGGACAUCUGUCAGGCUGCUAUUGAUUAUGAGGGCAUCUUUUCGCUUAGAAACCUCCGCCUUCGCACACAUAGCUGAUAUGUAAUGAUUACCCCUUGACAGAUAAUUGUGCUUCUCCGACUCCCGCACGGCUUAGCUCAUCCGAUCUAUUGUGGCCUGCGUCUGCCUCGCAUCCUCCGAUCAGAUCCGGCCUCUAGGCGUCACCUGCGAGUUGGGCUGUCUCUAAACAGCUCUGCCGAUCUCGACCUGUACCCUGCGCUUUGUAUUUCCUGGCCCUCGACCGUAGGCC